rnacentral:rRNA from 1 species
CCCAGACUCCUACGGGAGGCAGCAGUGGGGAAUAUUGCACAAUGGGGGGAACCCUGAUGCAGCGACGCCGUGUGGGUGAAGGAGCACCUCGGUGCGUAAAGCCCUAUCGGCAGGGAAGAAACAGACGGUACCUGACUAAGAAGCCCCGGCUAACUACGUGCCAGCAGCCGCGGUAAUACGUAGGGGGCAAGGGUUAUCCGGAUUUACUGGGUGUAAAGGGAGCGUAGACGGAAAGGCAAGUCAGAAGUGAAAACCCGAGGCUCAACCAUGGGACUGCUUUUGAAACUGUCAAACUAGAGUACGGGAGAGGUAAGAGGAAUUCCUAGUGUAGCGGUGAAAUGCGUAGAUAUUAGGAGGAACACCAGUGGCGAAGGCGUCUUACUGGACCGAAACUGACGUUGAGGCUCGAAAGCGUGGGGAGCAAACAGGAUUAGAUACCCCUGUA